UGAGGCAACUCUGGAAAGACCUGCGCGCAGUCGUGUGCACGCGGGCGCCGAAGGAGAAAAGCCGGGUUGACCGGGUGAAGCUCUCAGGCACAAGCGACAGAGUGGGGAGG
rnacentral:ncRNA from 2 species